CACGUAGGAGGCGAGCGUUGUCCGGAAUCAUUGGGCGUAAAGAGCGCGCAGGCGGCUUGGCAAGUCGGGUGUGAAAUCCCGGGGCUCAACCCCGGGACUGCAUUCGAUACUGUCAGGCUAGAGGUAGGUAGGGGAGAUCGGAAUUCCUGGUGUAGCGGUGAAAUGCGCAGAUAUCAGGAGGAACACCGGUGGCGAAGGCGGAUCUCUGGGCCUUACCUGACGCUGAGGAACGAAAGCCAGGGGAGCGAACGGG
rnacentral:rRNA from 1 species